UGAAGACUACACCAACCCUUCUUUGUCAAAACAGCCAAAGACGAAUGAUCCAUUAACUAUCAAUCCCCUUCAAAAAUUUGAUGAUGAGUUGUUGGUUCAAUUACAGAAUUGGUUGAAAGAUGUAGCCACCAAUGAUGAGACAAAGACUGUGUUUACUUGCGAAGCACGAAAGAAGUUGUUUGUUAGAGUUCUAACAAAGUGCACAUGGCUUAAAGAUCCUGAAGUCGACGCAGUCUGCCACUUGUUGCGCAAAAGGAUUGAGCAAUAUCCCAAGACAUAUAAACAUUGUAAAGUAUCAAUAGGGGAUUGCUUAUUAGCAGAUAUGAUGAGGCGAGAGUACCCGAACUU